rnacentral:rRNA from 1 species
GACGAACGCUGGCGGCGUGCUUAACACAUGCAAGUCGAGCGGUAAGGCCCUUCGGGUACGACGAGCGGCGAACGGGUGAGUAACACGUGGGUGACCUGCCUCUAGCUCUGGGAUAAGCCUGGGAAACUGGGUCUAAUACCGGAUAUGACUCCACGGCGCAUGUUGUGGGGUGGAAAGCCUUGUGUGGCUAGAGAUGGGCCCGCGGCCUAUCAGCUUGUUGGUGGGGUGAUGGCCUACCAAGGCGACGACGGGUAGCCGG